CUCUAUUUCACCGCUCCACGCCCCAUGUUCUGUAAUUUAUAAACAUAAAUAGAACUGCUUAAUGAAGUAAAAGUUAAUACAGAGUACUUUUUUACAACAAUAAAAAAAUUAAUGUCUUCGAUUUCAUUCAAACAGCGUUCAGCGUAGUUUCAUCAUAUCAUAUUUACAGCCGAUUGAGACACAGUCAGACCAGGCGAGGACGUAAGAACUUCCAUUGCAAUUGAAUAGCAGAAAACAUUGAACGAUUCCAGGUUCGAUUUUUAGAAAUUUACCUAAUGACGGAAUUCUCUGGCUUUCGCGUUUGUCUUCUUGCUCCUCUACUCUUCCCUUUUUCAGUUCCGUUCUUUCUGUUUUCUUUGUUUCUUUCCUUCCUUGCUGUUUCCCCUUUUGAUUUUUUCUUCAGUGAAACAGGAAGAGGAGCCUAGUUUUUCUUUCUUUCUUUCUUUUUUCUUCUCUGUAAGUCCUCGGCCUCUCUCUCUCUCUCUCUCUCUCUGUUCGAAAAAGCUUCCUUCUCUCUUCGUCUUGCCUGUUCAAAUCACCGUCACGAUUCAGCUGUAGCCUUUAAACGGCUCGAGGAGCAGAGCAAGUUCCCUCCUUCUCCGCAUCGCCUACAACCCUAAACCCUAAGCCAGUAUUUCCUUUUCUCCUCCCGGUUAGCCUAAUCGGGAAACUUACUAAAUUUACAUCACCUUAAACGACAGCGUUUUACAUAAGGCGGGAGGACUAAAAGAUUCAGUAUGGUCUAUUU
rnacentral:lncRNA from 1 species